rnacentral:lncRNA from 1 species
AGUUUCUGAAGCAGAAAAUUCCGCUUAUGAGAUUCUGGAUAGAACCCAUGGUGCCCCUGAACACACGUAUGACACAGCUUCUACUAGUUCACCAAAAAGUAUGGUCAAUCGUGGAAACACAGAGUAUAUGAAUCUGCAAACAGAAAAAUCAUGAAUUGCAAGUUUCCGGCCGACGUUUCUCUACAAAACACAUAUUAAACAUGAAUAUUCAUUACAUUUGUCGUUUGACUAUUUAAC